rnacentral:rRNA from 1 species
AACGAACGCUGGCGGCAUGCCUAACACAUGCGAGUCGAACGAGACCUUCGGGUCUAGUGGCGCACGGGUGCGUAACGCGUGGGAACCUGCCCUUAGGUUCGGAAUAACUCCCCGAAAGGGGUGCUAAUACCGGAUAAUGUCUUCGGACCAAAGAUUUAUCGCCUUUGGAUGGGCCCGCGUUGGAUUAGCUAGUUGGUAAGGUAAAAGCCUACCAAGGCGACGAUCCAUAGCUGGUCUGAGAGGAUGAUCAGCCACACUGGGACUGAGACACGGCCCAGACUCCUACGGGAGGCAGCAGUGGGGAAUAUUGGACAAUGGGCGAAAGCCUGAUCCAGCAAUGCCGCGUGAGUGAUGAAGGCCUUAGGGUUGUAAAGCUCUUUUACCCGGGAUGAUAAUGACAGUACCGGGAGAAUAAGCUCCGGCUAACUCCGUG